rnacentral:lncRNA from 1 species
CCUGAGACAGCCGCACAAAGAGGAGGCCCCUGGCCGCUCCCGCCUUCCAUUGAUCCUGGCCCUUUGUGGCUCUGACGACGACGGGGGCGCGAGAGGCGCCGCGCAGGGACUUGGCCCAUUCUCAUUAGGGGACCCCUGUCCCGCCAGCCCUCACCACGGGUCCUCCUCCACAGAUGAGGAAAUGGCAAUGGCACCCACCAAGCAGCUGUGGUUUGGGAGCUGGGAUAUCGCUAUGUGGAAGCCCGUGGCACUUUGCUCUGGAUGCUGAACAGAGGAGGAAGAAGGGAAGAGAGCCUGGGCAGCUGGCUGGGAAAAGGCAGAGGGUGCUUUCCUGUCGCUGCCUGCUCUUGCUAAGCAUUGGGAGAAGAGGGAGAAUGUGGAAGGAGAGUGCACACCUGGGAGCUGCAUCCACUGGCUGACCAGAAUUGAACACAGGACCAUGUGCUUGCCAGGUCCACUGAGCUACAUCCCUGGCCCGGACUCCAGAAUGUUUGACCUGUGGAAAAGAAUGAUCAUUUCCUGCAUUGGAGAAUUUUAUUUAAAGUGUUCAGCAUAGAUUGGGGCACAAAAUAAGUGUUCAAUAAAUAUUACAUCUAAAAAAAGCAAUCUUACCAUGUAGCCCAAAGUCAUGAUUCUCCUGCCACAGCCUCCCCCAUUCUAGGAUUACAGGCAUGUGCCACCACACCCAGCCACAUAAUUUUUGUAUUGAUGUUUCGAUUUUCUGGUCCUUCUAAAUUUAGUCAUCUAAAGCUUUGUUGCAAAUGUUGAGGGUACCUGGCAAUAACACAAUAACUACCAUGCCCAACUAUAUACUGUGUGGCAAGCCCAUGGUGGGCAGAAUCUUGAUUUAGGGCCACUCUGUAUGAUGUAGGGAAGCCCUAUGAAAAAAUGAACAUUUGUUAAUUUUUUUUUAAUACCAGGGAUUGAAUUCAGGUCCUUGCACUUGCAAGGCAGGUGGUGGAACCACUGAGCUAAAUCCCCAGCCCUAUUUGUUAAUUUUUAACAUAUUUCAGGGAUUAGAUUUUUUUUGGUACCGGGGAUCGAACUCAGGACCUUGAG